UGCGUCAAGAUUUUUUUGUUUUUGCUUUUGGUUUGUUAAUUGAAAACUGUUUUAGCUCUGUGAGAUACAUAAAAGUGCUUUACAAAUAAAGUUUGAUUUGAUUUACUUUAUCCAGGAUGGUGGAAAUCUGGAAAAGAGGCUCAAACCAGCAUGCAGCUCUAAUUAUUAGUACCGGUAUUCGUGUUCUUCUCACAGCUUCACACAGAAAGCAAAAUGCAAGAAGAAAAGAACCCCUCUAAUCUCUCCAUUGAACCAGGAUUGGGAUAAACCAUUGCUCUAAAAGAAGGAGUAAAUCAGCAACACACAUUUGCAAGCACAGGUAUUGGUGUUACAAAAAUAUCCAUCCCAUAAUCACAAUGAACUGUAAAUAAAAGUCAAAUGAAGUGAACUGUUUCUGUCCAGUGCAGAUACUUUUUGUUCUUCCCUUGACUCGGGGCAAUCCAACCAGGCUGCAUGUACACACCAGCCAUAAUCAUGGACUUCCCCGACAACACGGGGGAGCCCACCCAGCUACUGUUGGGCGAAGGCGGGGCCACACCCUGAAGAGGCCGCCAGUCCGUUGCAGGGCCCCUCAUGAAGAGCUUUGGAUAGCAACUCAACGAAAAGUUUCAGGUUUUAAUUGAAUUCCUCCCCUUUUUUCCUCAGUUCAACACAAUAUUUCACCCUAUUUUACAUCACUUUUUCAAAAUAAAGUGAUGCAAUUUCAUUUCACACACCAAGAAAAAAAAUCUCCUCAAUAACUCUGGGUGUAUAGAUUCAUCCGAAGGAAAGGGGUGCAGUCAUUUGAAACACUCCAACACACGAAACUUGAAACUUUAAAAAUGUAAUAAGGGUAUCCUGUCAACAUUAUAAUAAAGUUUAUACAGGAUAUAGAAAAGCCUGCCUCCUAAAAUGCUAUUAUGUGCAGGUCAGAUGGAUCUGUUUUAGAUUUAAAAGGUUGUUCUCUGUUUGCUGUCGUGACACAGCUCUCCAGUCCGACUCCUGGGGGGAUUUUAACUCCAUUUCUCAUCCCUACAAGGUAACCUAGGAGCUGGUUUGUCAGGCUUAGUCAAGCUGACUGUACCUUCAGCUUGUCGCCAAGCAGAACAAAAUGAGCGACCCCCAUGGAGAGGCAAGAGCUGCUCACUGGAGCUCAACUAAGCAAGGGGGGGGGGGGAGUUUAUAAAAAAAAAAACAUUGUAAUCACAGGAGGAGCAGUGUCUCUGGCUGGUUAAUUAGCAGUGGCAAGUUGGGGAUGUCUUUGAAGCUUCAUGGUUUGGCCACGGCAAAAUAACGGGCUGUCGUUGCAAAAAUAAAACCCAUUCAUGAGAAAAAAAAAAAAAAAGGAUUCAUUUGUUCACAUUUUUUUAGGACAAUAUGCAUAAAUUAACACUGUGUAAAAAAAAACGUUUAAAAAUAAGCAAGAAAAGCAGCUUGUGUCCAAGGCAAAAGGGUAAUUAAGCAAUAAUAAUAAAAGAAGCAGGGACAGCACAUGGUCAUAUUUGUUUUCCAUAUAUUUAUAUGCUGUUUUUUGUAAUAUAUCAGCAUCUGGACAAAAGGCAUAAGCAGACAGGGGAGACCUUUCCUGUUGUGAGACUUUUCAUUCAACACUAAAGUGAAAAAGUUUUCAUCUCAAUCACAUAAUCACACAGAUCCCCACGAUGCGCCUCUUACUGUAUUUAUUACUUCUUUGUUUUUUGAAAUGUUGGGGCGUCACAUGUGGCAAAAAGCCUCCAGGCUGUUUCUCUCUUGAUACCUCACAUCCUCAGUCUUUCCUCUCCAUCUAAUGAUAACUACCUGGCAGUGAGGACAAACAUCGUGGACGAGCCACAAGGAAACGCUGUCUGGCAUCAUUAAGCACCACCUGCCACCACCAGCCAGCAAGGCUGGGAUGGAGUCAGUGCUGCAGUAAAACUAUGCCACCCUGUGGCAGGAAAAAGCUUCGGGGCAGCUCAGAGGCCCUGCAAGCUCCAUCUGACAUGUUGAGCUGGAUUUAAAAAGAAAAGACUUGAUUUUAGUAUAAUUUAAUGCAACACUGGUCCCUGAAGGAUGUUUUUGUCUGUGCGGUGUUUCGCUCGUGGAUGUGUUAUAUAUGCUCACAAACAACAACUUUUUUUUUUUUCUGGAGCAACAGACUUUACUGAGAUUUUAGCUCUAAGACGGGAAGAAAUGUGAGAACAAAGAUGCAAAUCCUAACUGAAGCCUACAAUGCAGUUUGUGCACAGCGUGUACAGAGCAUUUAGUAAUGCAUGUAUGAUUUUCAAAUAGUAAGAUAUGCAGAUUGUUGUCAACCAAAUCCAUUUUUCC
rnacentral:lncRNA from 1 species